rnacentral:rRNA from 1 species
UACGUAGGAGGCAAGCGUUGUCCGGAAUUACUGGGCGUAAAGCGCGUGUAGGUGGUGGGACAAGUCUGCUGUGAAAGUGCCUGGCUUAACCGGGCGAGGUCGGCGGAAACUGUCCGAUUCGAGGACGGUAGAGGGGGUGGAAUUCCCGGUGUAGUGGUGAAAUGCGUAGAGAUCGGGAGGAACACCUGUGGCGAAGGCGGCCCCCUGGGCCGGCCCUGACACUGAGACGCGAAGGCGUGGGGAGCGAACGGG